UGCAAUUAUGUAAGUACAUAAUGUAAUCUGAAAACUGCUGCCCUGAGUAAAAUAAAACCAAUGCAAAUUAUCUCAGAUGGUAUUCUGUCUAUAAUGGAGUGGAAUGAAAAUUUCAGUGUCUCCAAACUUUUCACAAGGUAGUUAUGUUCA